rnacentral:rRNA from 1 species
UCACGUUCAAUUUACGUAUUAUCUCAGUGGGCAUCUCGAUAAUACUGAAGGGUUCGAUCCUGGCUCAGAUUGAACGCUGGCGGGAUGCUUUACAUGCAAGUCGAACGGCAGCACGGACUUCGGUCUGGUGGCGAGUGGCGAACGGGUGAGUAAUGUAUCGGAACGUGCCUAGUAGCGGGGGAUAACUACGCGAAAGCGUAAUAAUACCGCAUACGCCCUUCAGGGAAAGCAGGAGACCUUCGGGCUCGCUGCUAUUGAAGCGGCCGAUAUCGGAUUAGCUAGUUGGUGGGGUAACGGCUCGCAAGGCGACGAUCCGUAGCUGGUUUGAGAGGACGACCAGCCACACUGGGACUGAGACACGGCCCAGACUCCUACGGGAGGCAGCAGUGGGGAAUUUUGGACAAUGGGGAAACCUGAUCCAGCCAUCCCGCGUGUGCGAUGAAGGCCUUCGGGUUGUAAAGCACUUUUGGCAGGAAAGAAACGGCAGGAUAAUACCCCGUGCAACCGACUUCUGCGAAGAUAAGCACCGGCUAACUACGUGCCAGCAGCCGCGGCAGUGGCGUAGGGUGCAAGCGUUAAUCGGAAUUACUGGGCGUAAAGCGUGCGCGAGCGGUUCGGAAGAAAGAUGAAAUCACAGAGCUUAACUGCAGUUACAUUUUUAACUACCGAGCUAGAGUGAGUGUGUCAGAGGAGGUGGAAUUCCGCGUGUAGCAGUGAAGUAGAUAUGCGGAGGGAACACCGAUGGCGAAGGCAGCCUCCUGGGAUAACACUGACGCCAUGCACGAAAGCGUGGGGAGCAAACAGGAUUAGAUACCCUGGUAGUCCACGCCUAAACGAUGUCAACUAGCUGUUGGGGCCUUCGGGCCUUGGUAGCGCACCGUAAGCUAUUGAAGUUGACCGCCUGAAAUUAGUCGCAAGGUCAAACUCAAAGGAAUUGACGGGGACCCACAAGCGGUGGAUGAUGUGGAUUAAUUCGAUGCAACGCGAAAAACCACCUACCCUUGACAUGUCUGAUCCGAAGAAGAGAUUUACGGUGCUCGCAGAGAACCGGAACACCCCGAUUGUGGCUGUCGUCAGCUCGUGUCGUGAGAUGUUGGGUUAAGUCCCGCAACGAGCGCAACCUGUGUCAUUAGUUGCUUGAAGAGGCACUCUAAUGAGACUGCCGGUAGGCAAACCGGAGGAAGGUGGGGAUGACGUCAAGUCCUCAUGGCCCUUAUGGGUAGGGCUUCACACGUCAUACAAUGGUCGGGACAGAGGGUCGCCAACCCGCGAGGGCCAAUCUAGAAACCCGAUCGUAGUCCGGAUCGCGAUCACCACAUCGACUGCGUGAAGUCAGAUCAGCAAUAAUCGCGGAUCGCUGUCGCGGUGAAUACGUUCCCGGUGCCCAGCACACCGCCGUCACACCAUGGGAGUGGGUUUUACCAGAAGUAGUUAGCCUAACCGUAAGGAGGGCGAUUACCACGGUAGGAUUCAUGACUGAGGCAGAGUAGUCUUAACAGAUGG